rnacentral:miRNA from 1 species
UACUGGCCUGUUAAGUCCCGAG